rnacentral:lncRNA from 1 species
CUCGUCCGCCGGCCCGGCUGGGGAGUGGCGGGCGUGGGGGUGAGACGGGGCCACCCCGCGAGGGCUGGAUCUGCGGCCGGAACAGGGCAGCCGCCGGGGCUUGGCCGGAGCCGGGCCGCCCUGGAGACGACUCCCAGGUCUGAAGUCACCUGUAAAUCUCCAUGCCCGGAGGUCAACGUUACCCGCAAGAUUCGCACUCAGUGCCCACCUGGCAGCUCCUCUGCACAGAGGCCCAUCAAAGUUGCAGGGAGACCUUGCCCCCCACAGGUUUUAAGAUAAGGAAGGAGGGAAGGCACCGGCGCUUGCGCACUGCCCGGGUGAGAGGGGGCUGCACCCUGCCCGUGGCCAGAGGCCCCUGCUCCUCCACCUGGACCCCUCCUCGCCCUGGCUUGAUGUGAUGGUAAGACCGGAGG